GAUGAACGCUGGCGGCGUGCCUAAUACAUGCAAGUCGAGCGAACGGACGAGAAGCUUGCUUCUCUGAUGUUAGCGGCGGACGGGUGAGUAACACGUGGAUAACCUACCUAUAAGACUGGGAUAACUUCGGGAAACCGGAGCUAAUACCGGAUAAUAUUUUGAACCGCAUGGUUCAAAAGUGAAAGACGGUCUUGCUGUCACUUAUAGAUGGAUCCGCGCUGCAUUAGCUAGUUGGUAAGGUAACGGCUUACCAAGGCAACGAUGCAUAGCCGACCUGAGAGAGGGAUCGGCGACCCUGGAACUGAGACGCGGUCCUGACUCCUACGGGAGGCAGCAGUAGGGAAUCUUCCGCAGUGGGCGAAAGCCUGACGGAGCAACGCCGCGUGAGUGAUGAAGGUCUUCGGAUCGUAAAACUCUGUUAUUAGGGAAGAACAUAUGUGUAAGUAACUGUGCACAUCUUGACGGUACCUAAUCAGAAAGCCACGGCUAACUACGUG
rnacentral:rRNA from 1 species